GCGACUGAUAGGUGCAAAGUUGUAUGGU
rnacentral:sRNA from 1 species